CCGCGUGCAGAUCCCGCUGUGGGCCUGCCAAAAGCGGACUGUGUGGUCGUACCCGGCCGUGGCCAAAAUGACCGGGUCGCUGCCCACGGUCCCCUGAUUCACGUUCAUGCUUGAUUUCUGGCUGCCACUGUCAAAAUCCUCAGUCCUCCCUUCCGAGGGUUAACAUGUGCUGCAUCACCUCGUCUGGGUCAGCCAGUGAGCAGGCCAGGAUCACCACCCGGACUCCACUCUUUGUCCUCAUGGAGGGGAGGAUCUAAAAUGGAAUGAUUCCCAGAAUAAUUUGUCACAUGUUUGGACGAAAUCCUUGAGGUAGAAAGUGCAGCCCAGCAAGGCCUCAGCCACUGGGCUUCUCAGGACGCAUGCAUGCAGGGUGCCAGUGUGGUCUACGAUGUCGACCAGCAGGUCAAACCCAGUGAUGGAUGAAAAGGCUUGACCCCGGCCUGGACACAAUUCGUU